rnacentral:rRNA from 1 species
GACGAACGCUGGCGGCGUGCUUAACACAUGCAAGUCGAACGGAAAGGCCCUGCUUUUGUGGGGUGCCCGAGUGGCGAACGGGUGAGUAACACGUGAGUAACCUGCCCUUGACUUUGGGAUAACUUCAGGAAACUGGGGCUAAUACCGGAUAGGAGCUCCUGCUGCAUGGUGGGGGUUGGAAAGUUUCGGCGGUUGGGGAUGGACUCGCGGCUUAUCAGCUUGUUGGUGGGGUAGUGGCUUACCAAGGUUUUGACGGGUAGCCGGCCUGAGAGGGUGACCGGCCACAUUGGGACUGAGAUACGGCCCAGACUCCUACGGGAGGCAGCAGUGGGGAAUAUUGCACAAUGGGCGGAAGCCUGAUGCAGCAACGCCGCGUGCGGGAUGACGGCCUUCGGGUUGUAAACCGCUUUCGCCUGUGACGAAGCGUGAGUGACGGUAAUGGGUAAAGAAGCACCGGCUAACUACGUG